rnacentral:tRNA from 1 species
AGGGGAGGUCCAAACCAACAAGAACUGCUAAUUCUUGCAUCCGAGCCUUAAAUCUCGGCCCCCUUA